AUACGUAGGGGGCAAGCGUUAUCUGGAUUUACUGGGUGUAAAGGGAGCGCAGACGGUGGUCCAAGUCUGAAGUGAAAUCCCUCGGCUCAACUGAGGAAUUGCUUUGGAAACUAUACGACUUGAGUGCUGGAGAGGUAAGCGGACUUCCUGGAGUAGCGGUGAAAUGCGUAGAUAUCAGGAAGAACAUCAGUGUCGAAGGCGGCUUGCUGAACAGUGACUGACGGUGAGGCUCGAAAGCGUGGGGAGCAAACAGGGUGAGAUACCCUGGUAGGCCACGCCGUAAACGAUGAAUACCAGGUGUUGGGGAGCAAAGCUCCUCGGUGCCGGCGCUAACGCAUGAAGUAUUCCACCUGGGGAGUUCGUUCGCAAGAAUAAAACUUAAAGAAAUUGGCGGGG
rnacentral:rRNA from 1 species